CGGGGUGUAGCGCAGUCUGGUAGCGCACCUGCCUUGGGCGCAGGGGGCCGGAGGUUCGAAUCCUCUCACCCCGA
rnacentral:tRNA from 1 species